UGGAGAGGCGAAGAUGCCAAAGUCUCAGGACAGAAAUCUUCCACAAUCCCUUUCCUAUUACAGCAAGAUUGAGGAAUAAAGACGAGUGUUUGCUUGUGGGCGGUGGAGUCAUCGUUAGAAAAGGGGAACCAAGCACUGCACUGAAUGAAGCCUAUGACAGCCGUCUCUCCACGAGCCCUAGAAGUUAGACGGCACUAAGGAAAGAUUGCUUCAGAGCCCAUCGCCUGUCGGUGGGAGGCAAGCGGCAGCGCCCAGCUGAGACUUACGGAUGCUGACACGUCCACGCGGGGAAGAGCUGACACCUUCCCUACCUGCCAGGAAAUUUGACGGAGAGUUUACCUCCGGAGGUAAUGUGCGGCCUCAAAAGCCUUUUCAUGCAGCUGAUCCCGUUUCUUCCUUCUGUGCGGCUCCCUUGGAGGUAAAAACCUGCAGCUUGUCCACGAGCUACCAGAGACUCUGAUACCUGUUUCCUCCUAGAGAUCGACUCAUGCGAGGUGCCAAAACGUGGCAUGAGUUUCGUUUGUGUGUGUUGGGAUUUGUUGCUUGCGUUCCUUGCCAGGUAGCCCCUGAUCCCCCCAACUAUUCCUGUAUUUCAGGGCAUGACAGCACACCUGAGUAUCUGUGGGAUGUGGGGGGGGUUUUGCAAGGUUUAUUUGUCUUCUGCAAUGAAAUUUCCAGACUAGAACUGAAAAUCUGUAGCUGUUGUCCCUGUCACGAGGACAGAUCUUUCUGAGGUGGCGGAGCUGUGGGGGUUUUUCAGACAAGUUUGACUAAUAGCCAGAUUGUGUCAUUACUGCUUCUUAUUUUUAAAGCACCCAUAAGCAUGAUGUUACCUCGCAGACAUGAGCAAGGGCGUAGUUCUCACUGAGGGAAAUUAGCAGCUUAAAUUUAGCCCUGCACUGCACAAAGGUUCUAAAAAGACAUGAAGAUGUGGGGGCAGAAGGAUGAAAGCCCGAGGGAGGCAGCGAGGGCAUGUGUUCCUGCAGUCUGGUGCAGCAUGGUUUCUCUUCCUUUUUCUGUCUUUAGCAAUCAGACAGGCAUUUGCUGCACCCGGUUUUGUGAGCGGGAC